GCUGAUGUUUCACAUAAUAUCCACUUACUGGAGCCUCAACAGCCUGACCCUCCUGCUUCAGUUCCUAAUGAGGACAGAGAUUAUCCUCUUUUGGAAUUGUAUCACUCUGCCUCUGAAGAGCAGGAAGAGGAGCAGUUCAAUUUGGAAGACACUCCUCUAGAAUUCCAGCAGU